UGCCAGGGUCUUGGAGGAUUAUGAAAGCUUGUUAGAUGCUUUGGCCAAAAGAGGGAGAGUGCAGAGUAACUUGCACAGGCUGGAGUCAGAGUAGUGACUUCACAGUCACCCAGAGCAUUGGUACUCAGAGCUCCAGCUCUCAGAGGCCCAGAUUCUUGGGCACAGCAAUACCUGCCUAAACUUGUCCUUGGCUGUCAUGGGUUCCCGGCUUCUCUGCUUCAUGGGAGUAGACAAAUGUAGACUGAACUCACCCCAACUCCAAGAUACCUGAUCAAAGCAAGAGACCAGGAAGCGGCAGUGAAAUGUUCUCUUAGCCCAGGACGCCCGGGUGCAGUGUGCCAGGGCGUCCUGCAGGG